rnacentral:rRNA from 1 species
CCCUUAGAUGUUCUGGGCCGCACGCGCGCUACACUGACGGAUUCAACGAGCUUACAACCUUGGCCGAAAGGUCUGGGUAAUCUCCAAAAUCCGUCGUGAUGGGGAUAGAUUAUUGCAAUUAUUAAUCUUCAACGAGGAAUGCCUAGUAAGCGCAAGUCAUCAGCUUGCGUUGAUUACGUCCCUGCCCUUUGUACACACCGCCCGUCGCUCCUACCGAUUGAAUGCUCAGGUGAGCCAUUCGGACUUUCAUCAUGCUGGUUUCCAGUUUUGAUGAAGGAAAGUCUUGCGAACCUUAUCAUUUAGAGGAAGGAGAAGUCGUAACA